rnacentral:rRNA from 1 species
AUACUUAGGGAUCUGCCCUUUGGAGGGGGAUAACCAUUGGAAACGAUGGCUAAUACCGCAUAAUGUCUACGGACCAAAGGGGGCUUCGGCUUCCACCAGAGGAUGAACCUAAGCGAGAUUAGCUUGUUGGUGAGGUAACGGCUCACCAAGGCGACGAUCUCUAGCUGUUCUGAGAGGAAGAUCAGCCACACUGGAACUGAGACACGGUCCAGACUCCUACGGGAGGCAGCAGUGGGGAAUAUUGCACAAUGGGGGAAACCCUGAUGCAGCCAUGCCGCGUGUGUGAAGAAGGCCUUAGGG